rnacentral:ncRNA from 1 species
CCUCGGGGUGGCCUCGCGCCUGAGAUAUCUCAACAGAGAGAACCCGAUGAACCUGAUCCAGAUAAUACUGGCGUAGGGACAGGCUGA